rnacentral:rRNA from 1 species
AUUGAACGCUGGCGGCAGGCCUAACACAUGCAAGUCGAGCGAGCGGCGGACGGGUGAGUAAUGUAUGGGGAUCUGCCUGAUGGCGGGGGAUAACUACUGGAAACGGUAGCUAAUACCGCAUACCAUCGGAUGUACCCAGAUGGGAUUAGCUAGUAGGUGGGGUAACGGCUUACCUAGGCGACGAUCCCUAGCUGGUCUGAGAGGAUGACCAGCCACACUGGGACUGAGACACGGCCCAGACUCCUACGGGAGGCAGCAGUGGGGAAUAUUGCACAAUGGGCGCAAGCCUGAUGCAGCCAUGCCGCGUGUAUGAAGAAGGCCUUCGGGUUGUAAAGUACUUUCAGCGGGGAGGCGUUACUCACAGAAGAAGCACCGGCUAACUCCGUGCCAGCCGCCGCGGUAAUUU